rnacentral:misc_RNA from 1 species
AAUUCUCAAAAACCAUUUCUUUUGGUCAUUUUUGACCAUGGAAAGGAUUUUGGACUUGGAGGCCUUUUGCUGGUUUCACCUCGAAGCGAGCUCCUCCCAAAUGUAUUAGUGGGGUCUGCAUUGUCGGUCCUUGGCGUGAUAAGUUGUUUCUACGUCUUAGAUCUUUGGCGCUGUACACCUGCUUCUAACCGUCUCAUUGACAACGAUGGUGUUUUGGUCACCGCCGGUUUUUAUCGGUGGGAGGCUUGACCCACAAAACAAA